rfam:Ictidomys tridecemlineatus contig037801, whole genome shotgun sequence.
GGGGCUGUAGCUCAGCGGUAGAGCGCUUGCCUCGAACACAUGAGGCCCUGGGUUUGAUCCUCAGCACCA